rnacentral:rRNA from 1 species
UACGUAGGCAGCAAGCGUUGUUCGGAGUUACUGGGCGUAAAGGGUGUGUAGGCGGUUGUUUAAGUUUGGUGUGAAAUCUCCCGGCUCAACCGGGAGGGUGCGCCGAAUACUGAAUGACUUGGAGUGCGGGAGAGGAAAGUGGAAUUCCUGGUGUAGCGGUGAAAUGCGUAGAUAUCAGGAGGAACACCGGUGGUGUAGACGGCUUUCUGGACCGUAACUGACGCUGAGACACGAAAGCGUGGGUAGCAAACAGG